rnacentral:rRNA from 1 species
GAUGAACGCUGGCGGCGUGCUUAACAUAUGCAAGUCGAACGAAGCACCUGUUCACGAUCCCUUCGGGGUGACGAACUUGUGACUUAGUGGCGGACGGGUGAGUAACGCGUGGGAAACCUGCCCUGUACAGUGGGAUAACAGUUAGAAAUGACUGCUAAUACCGCAUAAGCGCACGGUACCGCAUGGUACAGUGUGAAAAACUCCGGUGGUACAGGAUGAUCCCGCGUCUGAUUAGCUGGUUGGUGGGGUAACGGCCUACCAAGGCAACGAUCAGUAGCCGACUUGAGAGAGUGAUCGGCCACAUUGGGACUGAGACACGGCCCAAACUCCUACGGGAGGCAGCAGUGGGGAAUAUUGCACAAUGGGGGAAACCCUGAUGCAGCGACGCCGCGUGAGUGAAGAAGUAUUUCGGUAUGUAAAGCUCUAUCAGCAGGGAAGAUAAUGACGGUACCUGACUAAGAAGCUCCGGCUAAAUACGUGCCAGCAGCCGCAGUAACAC